GACGAACCGUGCGAACGUUGUUCGGAAUCACUGGGCUUAAAGGGCGCGUAGGCGGGCGGUCAAGUCAGAGGUGAAAUCCCACGGCUCAACCGUGGAAGUGCCCCUGAUACUGGCCGUCUCGAGGGAGGUAGGGGCGUGCGGAACUUCCGGUGGAGCGGUGAAAUGCGUAGAUAUCGGAAGGAACACCGGUGGCGAAAGCGGCGCGCUGGAUCUCUACUGACGCUGAGGAACGAAAGCUAGGGGAGCGAACGGG
rnacentral:rRNA from 1 species